rnacentral:lncRNA from 1 species
ACGGGUGCCAGACCUCGCUACCGACUCCAACCAAGCUCCGACCGACAAGUCUGGACCCCCUGGCGGGCCACAAUAACGGACAACACUGCUCCACUCCCUGCGGCGGACCCUACGCGACCCCAUUACUCCCUGACAGGCUGUAUUAACGGCCAUGAUUCUGCUCCACUCCCUGCGGUGGAUACUGUGCGAUUCCACCACCCCC